rnacentral:ncRNA from 1 species
AAACAAAUAGGUUUGGUCCUGGCCUUUCUAUUGGCUCUUAGCAAGAUUACACAUGCAAGCAUCCCCGCCCCGGUGAAGACGCCCUAUAAAUCACCAUGAUCAAGAGGAGCAAGUAUCAAGCACGCACACGCAGCUCAAAACACUUUGCCUAGCCACACCCCCACGGGAGACAGCAGUGACAAGUAUUUAGCAAUAAACGAAAGUUUAACUAAGCUAUGCUAUAUCAAGGGCUGGUCAAUUUCGUGCCAGCCACCGCGGUCAUACGAUUAACCCUAGCCAAUAGAGAUCGGCGUAGAGGGUGUUUAAGAUCUGAUGCAAUAAAGCUAAACUCCAUCUAAACUGUAAAACCCUAGCUGAUGUAAAAUAAACUACGAAAGUGGCUUUAAAACUUCUGAACACACAAUAGCCAAGGCCCAAACUGGGAUUAGACACCCCACUAUGCUUGGCCUUAAACCUCAAUAGUUAAAUAACAAAACUACUUGCCAGAAUACUACAAGCAACAGCUUAAAACUCAAAGGACUUGACGGUGCUUUACAUCCCCCUAGAGGAGCCUGUUCCAUAAUCGAUAAACCCCGAUCCACCCCACCCCCUCUUGCUCAGCCUAUAUACCGCCAUCUUCAGCAAACCCUGAUGAAGGUUACGAAGUGAGCGCAAUUGCCCUCCACCGCAAAAACGUUAGGUCAAGGUGUAGCCCAUGAGACGGUAAAAAAUGGGCUACAUUUUCCACCUCAGAAAACCCCACGAUAACUCUUAUGAAACCUAAGAGUCCAAGGAGGAUUUAGCAGUAAAUUAAGAAUAGAGUGCUUAAUUGAACCAGGCCAUAAAGCACGCACACACCGCCCGUCACUCCCCUCAAAUAUACUUAAGGAACAUCUUAACUAAAUACCCUAAUAUUUAUAUAGAGGGGAUAAGUCAUAACACGGUAAGUGUACUGGAAGGUGCACUUGGACAAAUCAAGGU